rnacentral:rRNA from 1 species
AGAAGGAGCCUGAGAAACGGCUACUACAUCCAAGGAAGGCAGCAGGCGCGCAAAUUACCCAAUCCCGACACGGGGAGGUAGUGACAAUAAAUACUGAUACAGGGCUCUUUUGGGUCUUGUAAUCGGAAUGAGUACAAUUUAAAUCCCUUAACGAGGAACAAUUGGAGGGCAAGUCUGGUGCCAGCAGCCGCGGUAAUUCCAGCUCCAAUAGCGUAUAUUAAAGUUGUUGUGGUUAAAAAGCUCGUAGUUGAACCUUGGGCCUGGCUGGCCGGUCCGCCUCACCGCGUGCACUGGUCCGGCCGGGCCUUUCCCUCUGCGGAACCCCAUGCCCUUCACUGGGUGUGGCGGGGAAACAGGACUUUUACUUUGAAAAAAUUAGAGUGCUCAAGGCAGGCCUAUGCUCGAAUACAUUAGCAUGGAAUAAUAGAAUAGGACGUGUGGUUCUAUUUUGUUGGUUUCUAGGACCGCCGUAAUGAUUAAUAGGGACAGUCGGGGGCAUCAGUAUUCAAUUGUCAGAGGUGAAAUUCUUGGAUUUAUUGAAGACUAACUACUGCGAAAGCAUUUGCCAAGGAUGUUUUCAUUAAUCAGGAACGAAAGUUAGGGGAUCGAAGACGAUCAGAUACCGUCGUAGUCUUAACCAUAAACUAUGCCGACUAGGGAUCGGACGAUGUUACAUUUUUGACG